rnacentral:rRNA from 1 species
UACGUAGGGUGCGAGCGUUGUCCGGAAUUAUUGGGCGUAAAGAGCUCGUAGGCGGCUUGUCACGUCGGGUGUGAAAGCCCGGGGCUUAACCCCGGGUCUGCAUUCGAUACGGGCAGGCUAGAGUGUGGUAGGGGAGAUCGGAAUUCCUGGUGUAGCGGUGAAAUGCGCAGAUAUCAGGAGGAACACCCGUAGCGAAGGCGGCACUCUGGGCCGAUACUGACACUGAGGAGCGAAAGCGUGGGGAGCGAACCGG